AAGAGACAGCAGCCGCCACGGUAAUACGGAGGGGGCAAGCGUUAUCCGGAAUUAUUGGGCGUAAAGGGUACGUAGGUGGCCUUUUAAGCGUAGGGUAUAAGGCAAUGGCUCAACCAUUGUUCGCCCUAUGAACUGGAAGGCUUGAGUGCAGGAGAGGAAAGCGGAAUUCCUAGUGUAGCGGUGGAAUGCAUAGAUAUUAGGAGGAACAUCAGCGGCGAAGGCGGCUUUCUGGACUGCAACUGACACUGAGGUACGAAAGCGUGGGGAGCAAACAGGAUUAGAUACCCCCGUAGUCCCUGUCUCUUAUACC
rnacentral:rRNA from 1 species